CAAACCAAAGCUGGCGACCGGCGCACGGGUGAGUAACACGUAUCCAACCUGCCUCAUACUCGGGGAUAGCCUUUCGAAAGAAAGAUUAAUAUCCGAUAGCAUAUAUUUCCCGCAUGGGUUUUAUUAUUAAAGAAAUUCGGUAUGAGAUGGGGAUGCGUUCCAUUAGUUUGUUGGGGGGGUAACGGGCCCACCAAGACUACGAUGGAUAGGGGUUCUGAGAGGAAGGUCCCCCACAUUGGAACUGAGACACGGUCCAAACUCCUACGGGAGGCAGCAUG
rnacentral:rRNA from 1 species